rnacentral:rRNA from 1 species
AUGCCACAAGGGCUUAGUGUGAGGGUAAGACUGCUGUUGAUAGGACCAGCAGCGGGUAUGCGAGUAGCACACGGUGGUUUACCCAGCUUCGGAGCUCUCCGGAGAGAUAAUACUCCUACUGCUGCAUGUCUGAGUAUAUCUGAUAUAUCUAGUACAGAGUUGCUCCCGGAGCUGUAUAUGGAAACAGUGCCACAGGCAUCUGGUUUCGUAUAUGCAUGUAUGUGGUAUGGUGGCCGUUUCUCUUGGCCGAAUGGGUGUGCCUGGGCAUGUAUGCAUGUGUGUGAGCAUGUGUCAGAGUGGAUGGAUGGAGGCUUGCUAGCUAGCUUAUAUAGUGUGGAGUGGUCAUGGGACAUGGCGUUGGUUGUAAGCUACCUUGGGUAG